GAAGUCUGCGGCCUAACCCGAAAAGGGGAGGAGCGGCCCAAGGUAUGACUCAUGAUUGGGGUG
rnacentral:rRNA from 1 species